UUCGUUGCCAUUAUUACCCUUUUGAGCUCUUUUUAACCCCUUUUCAGGUUUCACUUCCUUUCCACCGCAUUUCAUGAUCUCUGUGGUUGAUGCAGAGGAGGUGGAGGUAGACGACACAGAGGAACAACCGGUGGUGGUGGUGGUAGAGGUGGAGGAAGUGGUGGUGGUGAUGGUGGUAGAGGUGGAGGAAGUGGUGGUGGAUAAUGAUGCAUUCUCCAUGUUGACUUGCGGUGCUUCUGUGACCAAAGAGGUAUAUUUAUGAUAUUUAGACAUUGAUACCUACAAGAACAUAAUACGAGAUAUUGCUACAUAUAAAUAGAAAAAUCAUGGGUUUUUAUAUUAUAUUUAAAAUUUUAUUUAUAAUAAAAAAGGCGAUGUAGUCUUAUUGGUAGAAUAAAGAAAAAGAAAAGCCAAAAAGGAAAAGGAAUAUGGGGGCCAUGAUAUGAAGGAAGAGACUACCCAACAAUGCAUCAAAUUUGUUCCUAUGCAUGUGGAUACUUUUCCUUUACAAAUUAUGCUAAAAUUAAUUUAUUUUUAGUAAAUCAAAGUUUAAUUUAACUUUCAAGACUCUAUUAUUAUAUAUAUCUUAUUAGGUGUCAGACCCGUGUAUUAUAUAGGUUUAUUAAAAAUAAAAAUUUAAUAUCAAUAUAUAAAUAUAAAAUAUUUUAUAAUGUAAUACUUUACAUAACAAAAUGUAAUCUUCUGAAAAUUUACAAAAGAAAUUAAAUCUUUUGAAGUAUUUAUGAGAAUUUAUUACCAAAUUAAUAGAAUGAUUUUAUUUCCUUAUAAAACUCAUUACAAUUUUAUGGAAUUUUAUUUUAAGAAAAUGGAAAUUCUCUAAAAAAUGACAAGUGAAAAAUAAAUUUUCUAAAAUUCUCACAAAAUGACAAGUAUCAAAAUAAAGGAGAAGAUGACAUGUGGCAAAAAAAACAUUCAUUUAUUAAAGAGGAUAUAUGUUUCUUGAAAUUAAAUUGUCCAUUGUUAUAAUAAAAAAUGUAACAUGUGUUUUUUGGUUUUCAAAAACUUAUGAUUUUGUUUUGAUAAUUUGUCGGCUCAUAUUUUUUUUACAAAUUAGUAAUAUUAUUUCAUUUUUCUUGCAUAUGUAUAUCUUCGUUAAAGAUCUUAUCUAUGGUGGUAAUCGGGUAUGUCCUCAUCUUUGGUGUGAGUCCAUUGAAUCUAUUAGCAACUACCCCCGCCCUUUACCCUGAGAAAAUCUUCCAACAUAACAAAGCAGGUCUUAUUAUUUCCUUCACUGUUCAUGAAGUUUGGCUUAGCCUUCGGCCUGAUGACGUUGACGGGCACCACCUCCAAUGGUUCUCAAAAUAUCAUCUGGCAUGCCUUCAUCUUAUAGGUUGUCUUUAAAGACCGUCUUAAAACUCAUGAAAGAAUACAUACAUGGGAGCCUAGCCAAAGCUUGUCUUGUAGUGU
rnacentral:lncRNA from 1 species